AUGAGUUGGAGGAAAUGUUUGAUAAAAUUUUCCUGUAUUCUCAGUGGGUUCUCACUGACAGGCUGUUCAAGGAAAAUUCAACAAAAAUGCCUGCCAUACCACGAAGAGGCAAACAGCCAGAGAAGGAACUUUCCUCAGAAGCGUUUCAGAUUACUUUAAAUUACUUAUCAGACCAUGCAAACUGGGUAGAACUGUCUUUCUUAAGAGCCAUUCACGUUUAAAAUGUGGACAUGGAGCUCCAACCCCAUGCCAACUGGGUGUUUUAAUAGCAGUUUUCUGGUAUUUUUCUAGUACUUUAUAAGUGAAAGGGGAUUCUUGUGUUUAUUUUGUGAUUAUUAUUAGCCCAAAUAAAAUUUGCCUCUUGCAAAGCACCAGUAGAGAAAAUAAAUCAUUGAACAUUGAUUGCAGGUCAUGAACUACAGAGCCUAUUGGGCAAAAUAUAGGGGAUCAAAAGAAUGUGAGCCUGGUCUUGCUUGGUAAAAAAGGCAUUUACCUUCUAGUCAUGAAGGCAGGAUUGGAGCUGAGGCCCAUCUCCUUCAGCCACACAUUCUUCUUUCAGACAUCUCAGCACUCUUGAUAAUAUUCAGCCUUUGUUUAUACUCGGUAGAGCCUAGAUUUGAUUUCCAGGGUUUGUCUUCCUUCCCUGACCUGAGAGAAAAUCACUCCCAAGGCUGCCAGUUGUGG
rnacentral:lncRNA from 1 species